rnacentral:rRNA from 1 species
AGAGUUUGAUCCUGGCUCAGGAUGAACGCUGGCGGCGUGCUUAACACAUGCAAGUCGAACGGAGAUAUCAUUUUCGAAGCGAUUAGUUUACUAAGAGCGGAGAUGUUGCUAUCUUAGUGGCGGACGGGUGAGUAACGCGUGGGUAACCUGCCUUGCACUGGGGGAUAACACUUAGAAAUAGGUGCUAAUACCGCAUAACAGUAGGAGACGCAUGUCUUUUACUUGAAAACUCCGGUGGUGUAAGAUGGACCCGCGUCUGAUUAGCUUGUUGGCGGGGUAACGGCCCACCAAGGCGACGAUCAGUAGCCGGCCUGAGAGGGUGAACGGCCACAUUGGGACUGAGACACGGCCCAAACUCCUACGGGAGGCAGCAGUGGGGAAUAUUGGACAAUGGGGGGAACCCUGAUCCAGCGACGCCGCGUGAGUGAAGAAGUAUUUCGGUAUGUAAAGCUCUAUCAGCAGGGAAGAAAGAAAUGACGGUACCUGACUAAGAAGCCCCCGGCUAACUACAUGCCAGCAGCCGCGGUAAUACGUAGGGGGCAAGCGUUAUCCGGAUUUACUGGGUGUAAAGGGAGCGUAGAGGGCGAUGCAAGUCUGAAGUGAAAGAGCGGGGGCCCAACCCCCGGACUGCUUUGGAAACUGUAUGGCUGGAGUGCAGGAGAGGUAAGUGGAAUUCCUAGUGUAGCGGUGAAAUGCGUAGAUAUUAGGAGGAACACCAGUGGCGAAGGCGGCUUACUGGACUGUAACUGACGUUGAGGCUCGAAAGCGUGGGGAGCAAACAGGAUUAGAUACCCUGGUAGUCCACGCCGUAAACGAUGAUCACACAGGUGUCGGUGGGUAUGGACCCAUCGGUGCCGCAGCAAACGCAGUAAGUGUUCCCCUGGGGGAGUAGGUUCGCAAGAAUGAAACUCAAAGGAAUUGACGCGGACCCGCACAAGCGGUGGAGCAUGUGGUUUAAUUUGAAGCAACGCGGAGAACCUUACCAAGUCUUGACAUCCUGCUGACCGUCCCUUAGCCGGGGCUUUCCUUCGGGACAGCAGAGACAGGUGGUGCAUGGUUGUCGUCAGCUCGUGUCGUGAGAUGUUGGGUUAAGUCCCGCAACGAGCGCAACCCUUAUCCUCAGUAGCCAGCAUUACGGAUGGGAACUCUGGGGAGACUGCCGGAGACAAUCCGGAGGAAGGUGGGGAUGACGUCAAAUCAUCAUGCCCCUUAUGACUUGGGCUACACACGUGCUACAAUGGUGGUAACAAAGUGAAGCGACCCCGUGAGGGUGAGCCAACCACAGAAAAGCCAUCUCAGUUCGGAUUGUAGUCUGCAACCCGACUACAUGAAGCUGGAAUCGCUAGUAAUCGCAGAUCAGAAUGCUGCGGUGAAUAAAGGCCCGGGUCUUGUACA